CCUGGUGGCGAGUGGCGAGCGGGUGAGUAAUAUAUCGGAACGUGCCCAGUAAUGGGGGAUAGCCCGGCGAAAGCCGGAUUAAUACCGCAUACGACCUACGGGUGAAAGCGGGGGAUCGCAAGACCUCGCGUUAUUGGAGCGGCCGAUAUCAGAUUAGCUUGUUGGCGGGGUAAAAGCCCACCAAGGCGACGAUCUGUAGCUGGUCUGAGAGGACGACCAGCCACACUGGGACUGAGACACGGCCCAGACUCCUACGGGAGGCAGCAGUGGGGAAUUUUGGACAAUGGGCGCAAGCCUGAUCCAGCCAUGCCGCGUGUGGGAAGAAGGCCUUCGGGUUGUAAACCACUUUUGUCAGGGAAGAAACGGCCUUUACUAAUAUUAGAGGCUAAUGACGGUACCUGAAGAAUAAGCACCGGCUAACUACGUGCCAGCAGCCGCGGUAAUACGUAGGGUGCAAGCGUUAAUCGGAAUUACUGGGCGUAAAGCGUGCGCAGGCGGCUUUGCAAGACAGAUGUGAAAUCCCCGGGCUCAACCUGGGAACUGCAUUUGUGACUGCAUGGCUAGAGUACGGUAGAGGGGGAUGGAACUCCGCGUGUAGCAGUGAAAUGCGUAGAUAUGCGGAGGAACACCGAUGGCGAAGGCAAUCCCCUGGAC
rnacentral:rRNA from 1 species